GCGGGUAUCGUAUAAUGGCUAUUACAUCAGGUUUCCAACCUGAGAAUACGGGUUCGAUUCCCGUUACCCGCUCCA
rnacentral:tRNA from 1 species